rnacentral:rRNA from 1 species
AAAUUGAAGAGUUUGAUCAUGGCUCAGAUUGAACGCUGGCGGCAGGCCUAACACAUGCAAGUCGAACGGUAACAGGAAACAGCUUGCUGUUUCGCUGACGAGUGGCGGACGGGUGAGUAAUGUCUGGGAAACUGCCUGAUGGAGGGGGAUAACUACUGGAAACGGUAGCUAAUACCGCAUAACGUCGCAAGACCAAAGAGGGGGACCUUCUGGCCUCUUGCCAUCGGAUGUGCCCAGAUGGGAUUAGCUAGUAGGUGGGGUAACGGCUCACCUAGGCGACGAUCCCUAGCUGGUCUGAGAGGAUGACCAGCCACACUGGAACUGAGACACGGUCCAGACUCCUACGGGAGGCAGCAGUGGGGAAUAUUGCACAAUGGGCGCAAGCCUGAUGCAGCCAUGCCGCGUGUAUGAAGAAGGCCUUCGGGUUGUAAAGUACUUUCAGCGGGGAGGAAGGGAGUAAAGUUAAUACCUUUACUCAUUGACGUUACCCGCAGAAGAAGCACCGGCUAACUCCGUGCCAGCAGCCGCGGUAAUACGGAGGGUGCAAGCGUUAAUCGGAAUUACUGGGCGUAAAGCGCACGCAGGCGGUUUGUUAAGUCAGAUGUGAAAUCCCCGGGCUCAACCUGGGAACUGCAUCUGAUACUGGCAAGCUUGAGUCUCGUAGAGGGGGGUAGAAUUCCAGGUGUAGCGGUGAAAUGCGUAGAGAUCUGGAGGAAUACCGGUGGCGAAGGCGGCCCCCUGGACGAAGACUGACGCUCAGGUGCGAAAGCGUGGGGAGCAAACAGGAUUAGAUACCCUGGUAGUCCACGCCGUAAACGAUGUCGACUUGGAGGUUGUGCCCUUGAGGCGUGGCUUCCGGAGCUAACGCGUUAAGUCGACCGCCUGGGGAGUACGGCCGCAAGGUUAAAACUCAAAUGAAUUGACGGGGGCCCGCACAAGCGGUGGAGCAUGUGGUUUAAUUCGAUGCAACGCGAAGAACCUUACCUGGUCUUGACAUCCACGGAAGUUUUCAGAGAUGAGAAUGUGCCUUCGGGAACCGUGAGACAGGUGCUGCAUGGCUGUCGUCAGCUCGUGUUGUGAAAUGUUGGGUUAAGUCCCGCAACGAGCGCAACCCUUAUCCUUUGUUGCCAGCGGUCCGGCCGGGAACUCAAAGGAGACUGCCAGUGAUAAACUGGAGGAAGGUGGGGAUGACGUCAAGUCAUCAUGGCCCUUACGACCAGGGCUACACACGUGCUACAAUGGCGCAUACAAAGAGAAGCGACCUCGCGAGAGCAAGCGGACCUCAUAAAGUGCGUCGUAGUCCGGAUUGGAGUCUGCAACUCGACUCCAUGAAGUCGGAAUCGCUAGUAAUCGUGGAUCAGAAUGCCACGGUGAAUACGUUCCCGGGCCUUGUACACACCGCCCGUCACACCAUGGGAGUGGGUUGCAAAAGAAGUAGGUAGCUUAACCUUCGGGAGGGCGCUUACCACUUUGUGAUUCAUGACUGGGGUGAAGUCGUAACAAGGUAACCGUAGGGGAACCUGCGGUUGGAUCACCUCCUUACCUUAAAGAAGC